AUGCAUUCCCGCCUCACCUCUGCAUUUCUAGCUACGCUACUCGCGGGCAUGGCCAUCGUUCUUUUUGCCUCGGCCGCCGACGGCGUGGGCACGCAGGACGCCCCCAAACAUCUCCACUUCUACAUGCACGACGCCUACACUGGCCCCAAACCCACCACUGUUCUAAUCGUCAACGGGGCCGGCCAGCCGCUGAAGGGCUCCGGCGGCGGCGCCCGGUUCGGUGACACGGUGGUCAUGGACGACCGCCUCACCGAGGGCCCUACGCUGGCCUCGAGAGUCGUCGGGCGUGCCCAGGGAUUCUACGUGACAGCGUCCCAGGGCGACCCCGCGAUGCUCCUCGCCAUGAACGUGCUGCUCGCCGCCGGGCCUUACAACGGGAGCUCGCUGACCGUGAUGGGCCGCAACAACAUCGCGAUGCCGGAGCGGGAGCUGACGGUGGUUGGCGGGACCGGGGUUUUCAGGAUGGCCACCGGGUACGUGCUCUGGAAAACUGCGAGCUGGACCGGGAGGAACGCCGUCCUCGAGCUGGAUGCCUUCGUCUACGUGAGUCCGGCGGCCGCCGGUGCAUGA
rnacentral:rRNA from 1 species